GCCGCGGCCAGACAUGGCCGAGACGUACGGUGAGGAGGGGCCGGGGCCGGGGCCGGGCCGGGGCGGGGC
rnacentral:miRNA from 1 species